GCCUGUGUCAUUCACCCUGCUUUGUCUCCUCAAGCAGACAUUUUACCAUCUCACAUCAUCACAGGAAGAAGGACACAGGCCUGAGUUCUUGUUCUGGGUGAAGGACUUUGCAGGAGAUGUGUGACUGCUCCAGUGACCGAGUGUCCUUCUGCCCAGUUCCACAAUCUGUUUUGUGACCACCCUCAACAGUCAAUGCAUCAACACCACAAAAUUUGGGAGCUACGCCAAUAGAAGCCAUGCAAUCAUGCUGAGAACUAACCUUACAAAGAACAAGACUCAGUCGCCCGAGAAAGGGAGUGGUUUUGAACAUCUCAUGCCAGACCCUCUCCCCCUAUUCAGACUUCAGAGAGAGAACUACCUACCUACAGGCCUUGCCUUAGUGCUUUUCCCUGAAGCAGUUCAAACAGCCCAGCCUGGACAUGUAUUUGAAUCAGCGUAAACAGAGUUCGCCAAUUAAUGGGGCAAAACAGCCUUGUGUCAGUCCUGGGAAACGAUGGGCUGGAACAGCAAGGGUGAUUCAUCAGGCAGGUCACAACAAGGCCAAUGCAAAUUCUAAAAUGUUUGUUUCACUCGAACUAUGCUAUGCACUGGCAUAGUAAACACAACCUCAAAACGGUUACGUCAAAUGCUGCAAACAACAAUAUACACUUCAAACUUGCCAGAGGUGGAAGUAAAAGAAAGAUUAGCAUAAACGUCAGAGCCAAGGAUUUUAGGCCAGAGAGAAGGGGAAAACUGAGAGUUCAAUUCUGCUGUCCUCCAGAAGUUUUUUGGCGAAGGAUUAUCUAUCAAAACUGUUCUAGCCUCUUAUUUCCUACGUAAUCCCAAGCAAAUGCUGUGAGAAGAAAGGACUAGUGCCAUUGCCGAGUUGACAUGGGAGAAUGCAGAAUUUCUCUCCCAAAUCUAUUUACCCAUUACACACCUGUAUUCUGUGCGACGUACUCUUUUAUUCUUGUGAAAAACAUUUCACAUUCACACGUUCCAAUAAAACUGAAAUAAGCCA